rnacentral:rRNA from 1 species
CCUACGGGUGGCAGCAGUGAGGAAUAGUGAUCAAUGGACGCAAGUCUGAACCAGCCAGGCCGCGUGCAGGAAGACGGCUCUAGGAGUUGUAAACUGCUGUUGGACGAGGGGAAACGCAGAUAAGCGGAGCGGUCUGAAAGGAUGGUAAGAAUAAGGAUCGGCGAACUCCGUGCCAGCAGCCGCGGUAAUACGGAGGAUUCAAGCGUUAUCCGGAUUUAUUGGGUUUAAAGGGUGCGUAGGCGGUCGGAUAAGUUAGAGGUGAACUCCCGCGGCUCAACUUCGGAAUUGCCUCUGAUACUGUUCGGCUAGCGUGUAGUUGCGGUAGGCGGAAUGUCUGGUGUAGCGGUGCACUGCUU